GCAGUCGGGCAUUUCGUCGCUCGCCGCCUUUUCGCGGCGUGAGGAAAGUCCGGGCAACACAGAGCACCAUACUUCUUAACGGGAAGCUGUUGGCAACAGCAGAGUAGCGUGACAGAAAACAACCGCCCGCACUCGUGUGGGUAAGGGUGAAAAGGUGAGGUAAGAGCUCACCGGGCGACAUAGUGAUAUGCCGCGCCGCACGCCUUAUGGGUUGCAAGGCCAAGUAUACCGGCAUUUAAGGGUUGCUCGCCCAUUGUCGGGGGGUAGGCUGCUAAAGCCGUGGUGGCAACAUCCGGCUCAGAUAAAUGACGAAACGCCAUUGGUAACCCCCUCGCGCGGGGUAGUCCGUGGCCGACAUAACCCGGCUUAUCGUCCGGCUGCACUU
rnacentral:RNase_P_RNA from 1 species